UAUAGACUCUGCUUAGGGAACAUGCUCCAUAACUUUAAAUCUCCUCACAAACCCCUCCUCUCCACAGCCUCAUGUAAAUAUUGUAUCCUUGGAGUCUACUGUUAUAAAGUGACAGACACAUCCUUUCUAACACAGUCUGACCAUGAUGAACACACUGGUCCUCCUGAUGGGGGCGCUCUCCCUGCCCUGUGUGAGUUGCCAGAUCCUCCAGUCCAUUCCCUCUUCUCCAGUGCUCAAAACUCCUCAGGAGUCUGUCAGUCUUUCCUGCAGUGGAUCUGGGUUUAACUUUGGUGGCUACGGGAUGAACUGGAUUAGACAAGCUGAAGGAAAAGGGUUGGAAUGUCUGGGGCUCAUUUAUUACGAUGCAAGUAAGACGUAUUACGCAGACAGUGUUCAAGGGAGGAUAGAAAUCAGCAGAGACAAUGUCUAAAGCUUGGUGUUUCUCAGACUGUCCAACCUGCAGCCUGAGGACUCUGCUGUGUACUACUGUGCCCGACACACUGUGGUUUGACUUUAUUAUGAGUCUGUACAAAAACCAGCACAACCUCCAGGGGGCAGUAGAUGAUGGGAAAUGUUUGUUCUACACAUGUGUAGUGAGUUGGUCUUGUGCUUUUACCUUCCUCUUUUCACUGUCAUUUUAUUCAGAUAUUCUUGAUGAAUGAUUAAAAAAUGUUAUGUGAUCUCAAGAAUACAGUGAACUUAGUCAUUAAGUAACAAGCUCAUCCCAAAUUAGACAAAAACAUGCAACACUUGCAUACACAAAUUCUCACUGCCUAUUUCCACAAUUUCCUAUUUUUUUUUCUAAGAAAUGCCCCUCCCUGUUAGUGUGAAUGCAAACUACUGCUGUGUUCCUGUGUGUUUAUAUAAGGCCCAUGUGAGAGUGUGACAGUGCACUCCACACUGAUGAUGUUGUCUGUAGCUCUUCUGCUGCUGCUGGCAGCUGGAUCCUGUAAGUCUCUGUUCACAUCAGUAA